UACAUCAGUGUUAUGUUAUUUUUAUGACUUCAUCUUUAUACAGUCGGGUUCGGGUUCGGCGGCCAUAGCGAAUUUCGGCGAGAUUUUACCCCAGUGAAAAAGGCUUGUAAUCUACCCUUCCUCAAACCUGGAAGAUAUGUUUUGUUCCUAACCAAUCCAUUCUCUAAGUGAAGUGAAGCCUGGCUGUUGGUUUUCCUUUGGGAAAUAUACAGUGAAAUAA